rnacentral:rRNA from 1 species
CACGCCGUAAACGAUGAUCACUAGUAGUAUGAAGAUUCGACCCUUUGUGCUACGAAGCUAACGCGAUAAGUGAUCCGCCUGGGGAGUACGAGCGCAAGCUUAAAACUCAAAGGAAUUGACGGGGACCCGCACAAGCAGAGGAGGAUGUGGUUUAAUUCGAAGCUAAGCGAAGAACCUUACCGAGGUUUGACAUCCCAGGAAUUUUGGCGAAAGCCAGAAGUGCCUUCGGGAACCUGGUGACAGAUGC